AUUGAACGCUGGCGGCAGGCCUAACACAUGCAAGUCGAGCGAGCGGCGGACGGGUGAGUAAUGUCUGGGAAACAGCCUGAUGGAGGGGGGUAACUACUGGAAACGGUAGCUAAUACCGCAUACCAUCAGAUGUGUCCAGAUGUGAUUAGCGAGUAGGGGGGGUAACGGCUCACCUAGGCGACGAUCCCUAGCUGGUAUGAGAGGAUGACCAGCCACACUGGAACGGAGACACGGUCCAGACUCCUACGGUAGGCAGCAGUGGGGAAUAUUUCACAAUGGGCGCAAGCCUGAUGCAGCCAUGCCGCGUGUGUGAAGAAGGCCUUCGGGUUGUAAAGCACUUUCAGCGGGGAGGCGUUACCCGCAGAAGAAGCACCGGCUAACUCCGUGCCAGCCGCCGCGGUAAUUC
rnacentral:rRNA from 1 species